UCUGGGGCUGGAGCCGACACUGCAGCAGAGGUCUUCCUCUUUAACCUCCGCUUUUGAGUGCGGGUCAGCCCUUGCGGGCUGGACAUGUGUUGGGAGGGCAACAGAGAGCUGGGAUUGGGAUGUUCGCCAUAAGCAGCCUGAUGAACCAAAUGCUCCACAAACUGAUGGUAAGAUAGCCCUCCCAAUUUCAGCAUCUGCUGGAUAUUGAGGGGCUUGUCGAGAGCAUAGUUAAGGAGGUUCACCAGGGCUUGAUCAUUAAACCCCAGCCCCUCUGCUGCCACACAAAAUUUAGCCGCAAAACUUUCCACCUUCAUGCCACGUUGCCGCAGCGACUGCAGACUGAUGAGCUGCAGUAUGCGGCUGGAGAAGGGGCUGUCUUCACUCUGCUGGGUCCUCAUUUUUGGCGAGUUCGUACUGUCACGUUCCGGUAAAGGGAAAAAGGAGCAAGGACCCAAGCGCAGAGUGAAGUAGGAUUUAUUAAUUAAAAAAUAAAAUAAAAGGCAAAAAUAAACAACCCCGAGGGGGAAAACACUACUAAAACACUACUACAACAAACAAUAAAUCAAACAAACAAACUUGACUGGGCAGGCACAACAAGGCAGGACUGGACACAGCAAGACAGGUAAACAUCGACUACAUAUAAUGACGAACUCGCAAAGGACUGAAAACAUGAGGGG